CAUAAGGCACUGGUCGGGAUAGCUCAGUUGGUAGAGCAGAGGACUGAAAAUCC
rnacentral:tRNA from 1 species